UCGAAAUCAACAUGUGCGCUGUGUGCGAGCAUAUCCUCGCGUCUGUAAGCGGCCAUUUCUCAAUGAUUUUGUGCAAUUUGACUGCUUUUUUUCGCGACACUACUAUGUUGUUGACCGCAAGACUCAAAGUUGAUUUCAUUAAACUGCUAAAUGCGAUGUUCAACAAUUUCAUCGAAGAAGCCGUGAUAGCGUAGUGUAAUCGGCAUGAUUACAUUUAAAAUUAGUUUUUAUUUUGUCCAAGUAGAAGUCUAAUUUACCAUGAUAACAUUGAAUUAUGUUUUUAUUUGUAAAAGGAUACCAUUCCUGUAUGGCGGGUUAGUAAAAUUGUUUUGUAGAAUUGUGUUAAUUACAUAAAAUUAUCAUUUAGAA